rnacentral:rRNA from 1 species
CACGUAGGCACCAAGCGUUAUCCGGAUUUAUUGGGCGUAAAGAGCUCGUAGGCGGUUCGGUAAGUCGGGUGUGAAAACUCUGGGCUCAACCCAGAGAGGCCACCCGAUACUGCUGUGACUAGAGUGCGGUAGGGGAGCGGGGAAUUCCUGGUGUAGCGGUGAAAUGCGCAGAUAUCAGGAGGAACACCGGUGGCGAAGGCGGGUCUCUGGGCCGUAACUGACGCUGAGGAGCGAAAGCAUGGGGAGCGAACAGG